UUAAGGGGGAACUGCGGAGGGAUCAUUACCGAGUUUACAACUCCCAAACCCAAUGUGAACGUUACCAAACUGUUGCCUCGGCGGGAUCUCUGCCCCGGGUGCGUCGCAGCCCCGGACCAAGGCGCCCGCCGGAGGACCAACCAAAACUCUUAUUGUAUACCCCCUCGCGGGUUUUUUUAUAAUCUGAGCCUUCUCGGCGCCUCUCGUAGGCGUUUCGAAAAUGAAUCAAAACUUUCAACAACGGAUCUCUUGGUUCUGGCAUCGAUGAAGAACGCAGCGAAAUGCGAUAAGUAAUGUGAAUUGCAGAAUUCAGUGAAUCAUCGAAUCUUUGAACGCACAUUGCGCCCGCCAGUAUUCUGGCGGGCAUGCCUGUCCGAGCGUCAUUUCAACCCUCGAACCCCUCCGGGGGGUCGGCGUUGGGGAUCGGCCCUGCCUUGGCGGUGGCCGUCUCCGAAAUACAGUGGCGGUCUCGCCGCAGCCUCUCCUGCGCAGUAGUUUGCACACUCGCAUCGGGAGCGCGGCGCGUCCACAGCCGUUAAACACCCAACUUCUGAAAUGUUGACCUCGGAUCAGGUAGGAAUACCCGCUGAACUUAAGCAUAUCUAAA
rnacentral:sRNA from 1 species